CACGUAGGGUGCGAGCGUUGUCCGGAAUUAUUGGGCGUAAAGAGCUCGUAGGCGGUGUGUCGCGUCGGCCGUGAAAACCUGCAGCUUAACUGUGGGCUUGCGGUCGAUACGGGCAUCACUGGAGUUCGGCAGGGGAGACUGGAAUUCCUGGUGUAGCGGUGAAAUGCGCAGAUAUCAGGAGGAACACCGGUGGCGAAGGCGGGUCUCUGGGCCGAUA
rnacentral:rRNA from 1 species